GGGGACAUAGCUCAGUGGUAUAGCACUUGCCUAGCAUGCAUGAGGCUCUUGGUUCAAUCCCUAGUACCACCA
rnacentral:tRNA from 1 species